rnacentral:rRNA from 1 species
CAAUAGCGUAUAUUAAAGUUGUUGCAGUUAAAAAGCUCGUAGUUGGAUUUCUGGUUGGAGCGACCGGUCGGGCAUUGAUUUGUCUGCACUGGAGUCGGUUCUGGCCAUCCUCUUGGAAAGUGCGUCUGUCAUUAAGUUGUCGGGCGUAUGAUCCAGGUCUUUUACUGUGAAAAAAUUAGAGUGUUUAAAGCAGGCCUUCGCCUUGAAUACAUUAGCAUGGAAUAAUAAGAUAGGACUUUGGUCUAUUUUGUUGGUUUGCAGACCGAAGUAAUGAUUAAUAGGGAUAGUUGGGGGCGAUUUUUAUUUCCAUUGUCAGAGGUGAAAUUCUUGGAUUAACGGAAGAAAAACUAACUGCGAAAGCAUCUGCCAAGGAUGUUUUCAUUGAUCAAGAACGAAAGUUAGGGGAUCGAAGAUGAUCAGAUACCGU